AUGGCUCUCUGUUUUAUCUAUAUAUAUAGACUCUGACCUGCCCAGUGAAUAAUUUUUUUUAACGGCCGCGGUACUCUGACCGUGCGAAGGUAGCAUAAUCAUUUGUCUUAUAAUUGAAGUCUAGUAUGAAUGGUUUGACAAGAGUGUAGCUGUCUCUUUUUAAUUUUUUAGAAUUUUAUUUUUAAGUUAAAAAGCUUAAAUAGUAUUAAAAGACAAGAAGACCCUAUCGAGCUUUAAAAAAUUUUAUAGAUAUAAGAUAUUAAUAUAAAGUUUACUAUAAAGUAUUUUGGUUGGGGCGACUAAGGAACAUUAAAAGCUUCCUUGAAUUAUUUUUACUUACGGGUAAUGAUCCAAUUUUUUGAUUAAAGAAAUUAGUUACCGUAGGGAUAACAGCAUUAUCUUUUUUGAGAGUUCGUAUCGAAAAAAAGGAUUGUGACCUCGAUGUUGGACCAGAAUUUCCUAAAGAUGUAGCAGUCUUUAAGGGUUGGUCUGUUCGACCAUUAAAAUUCUACGUGAUCUGAGUUAAGACCGGUGUAAGCCAGGUCAGUUUCUAUCUUUUAUUAUUUAGGUGUAAAAUUAGUACGAAAGGACCAUUUUAUUUUAUUAUAUAAUUUUUAUGAUUAAGUUUAAUUAAACAUUAUCAAAUUAGCAAACUUAAUGCAAUUGACUUAGGCUCAAUAGAAAUAGGUGAAACUCCUUUAUUUGAUAUAAGGAUAAAGAUGGCAGAUUAAGUGC
rnacentral:rRNA from 1 species